UAGUCCACGCCCUAAACGAUGAAUGUUAGUCGUCGGGUAGCUAGUCUAUUCGGUGAUGCAGCUAACGCAUUAAACAUUCCGCCUGGGGAGUACGGUCGCAAGCUUAAAACUCAAAGGAAUAGACGGGGACCCGCACAAGUGGUGGAGCAUGUGGUUUAAUUCGAAGAUACGCGAAGAACCUUACCUAGCCUUGACAUAUUAAAGAACACUUUAGAGAUAGAGUGGUGCCUUCGGGAGCUUUUAUACAGGUGCUGCACGGCUGUCGUCAGCUCGUGUCGUGAGAUGUUGGGUUAAUCCCGCAACGAGCGCAACCCUCGUCACUAGUUACUAACGGUUCGGCCGAGGACUCUAGUGAGACUGCCUUGCAAGGGAGGAGGAAGGUGAGGACGACGUCAAGUCAUCAUGGCCCUUACGGCUAGGGGCAACACACGUGCUACAAUGGGCCAGGGACAAUGAGAAGCGAUACCGCGAGGGUGGGAGCAAAUCUAUAAACCUGGGU
rnacentral:rRNA from 1 species